GACGAACGCUGGCGGCGUGCCUAAUACAUGCAAGUUGAGCGCUGAAGGUUGGUACUUGUGCCAACUGGAUGAGCAGCGAACGGGUGAGUAACGCGUGGGGAAUCUGCCUUUGAGCGGGGGACAACAUUUGGAAACGAAUGCUAAUACCGCAUAAAAACUUUAAACACAAGUUUUAAGUUUGAAAGAUGCAAUUGCAUCACUCAAAGAUGAUCCCGCGUUGUAUUAGCUAGUUGGUGAGGUAAAGGCUCACCAAGGCGAUGAUACAUAGCCGACCUGAGAGGGUGAACGGCCACAUUGGGACUGGGACACGGCCCAAACUCCUACGGGAGGCAGCAGUAGGGAAACUUCGGCAAUGGGCGAAAGUCUGACCGAACAACGCCGCGUGAGUGAAGAAGGGUUUCGGGUCGGAAAACUCUGUUGGUAGAGAAGAACGUUGGUGAGAGUGGAAAGCUCAUCAAGUGACGGUAACUACCCAGAAAGGGACGGCUAACUACGUG
rnacentral:rRNA from 1 species